GAUGAAGAACGUAGCGAAAUGCGAUAAGUAAUGCGAAUUGCAGAAUUCAGUGAAUCAUCGAAUCUUUGAACGCACAUUGUGCCCGCCAGUAUUCUGGCGGGCAUGCCUGUCUGAGCGUCGUUUCGACCCUCGCGCCCGGCUUCUGUCGGGGGCGGUGUUGGGGAUCGGCCACACCCUUCAGUGGGAGGCCGGCCCCUAAAUUCAGUGGCGACCACGCUGUAGCCUCCCCUGCGUAGUACUAAAACCACCUCGCAGGCGGAGAGCGGUGCGGCCCGCCGUAAAACCCCCCAACUUUUACAAGGUCGACCUCAGAUCAGGUAGGAAUACCCGCUGAACUUAAGCAUAUCAAUAAGCGGAGGA
rnacentral:misc_RNA from 1 species